ACAUCUACACGUCAGCUUCCUUCGCCGGCGAUUAUUACAAUCGUCAACCUCGCCGCCGGCCAGAGAUUAAUGGCGUAUCACCAACCGUUCGAUCCUUACCACGUCUAUCUACCUCAUUCUCAUCCACAUCCUCUUCCGCCACAGUUCCCCGACGAACCCGGGGCGAUUAACACGCUCUUUGUCUCUGGCUUGCCUAACGAUGUUAAGGCUCGUGAGAUCCACAAUCUCUUCCGCCGCCGUCACGGAUUCGAGUCUUGUCAGCUCAAGUACACUGGACGCGGUGAUCAGGUUGUGGCGUUUGCAACAUUCACGAGUCAUGGGUUCGCUAUGGCUGCAUUGAGUGAACUAAAUGGUGUGAAGUUUGAUCCUCAAACAGGAUCCACUCUACAUAUAGAACUAGCUAGAUCAAACUCUAGAAGAAAAGAAAGACCAGGAAGUGGGCCUUAUGUUGUGAUUGAUAACAGAAACAAGAAACCGUCUAAGUCUCAGGAUGACCAGAGUGAUGAAGUAGAUAGCGAUCCUGAUGAGGCGCAGGAACCUGGUAGUAGCGGUUCUCCAAAGGAAAACGAUAAUUCCAAAAGUGAAGCGGAAUCUGAUCAAGACAGUAAGGCACCAUCUGCUAAUGGGCAUUUGGAAAAAGCAUGUGAAGGAAGUUUUGGUGCUCGACCAUGUUCAACCUUGUUUAUAGCUAAUCUAGGGCCUAAUUGUACAGAAGAGGAACUUAAACAACUUCUAUCUAGAUAUCCUGGUUUCAAUAUCAUGAAAAUCAGAGCAAGAGGUGGAAUGCCAGUUGCUUUUGCUGAUUUUGAGGAAAUCGAGCAAGCUACUGAUGUCAUGAAUGAACUUCAAGGGUACCUCUUAUCCUCUUCAGACCGAGGCGGCAUGCAUAUAGAAUAUGCAAGAUCGAAGAUGAGGAAACAGUAAAGAUUUUCGCAACCCUAGAGUAGAGUCUCACUUCUCGUAAUGUACCACAUGCCAAUAGUAUUCUCUUCUGAAAACGAGAUAGAGAUCAUAAGCAAAUGAGAGCUAUAUUUAUUCAAAACUCCAAAAAUUUUCUAUUAAGACCUCUAAAGAUGUAUAAUAAGCACACAGAAGAUUUUAAAUGGGGAUGGAGAGAGACAAUCAGCCAUUGUCAUAAUCCAGUGAGUAAACAUCCAUGGAACGUCAUUUAAUCACUGCCCCACCAGUCCAAGACAUUUUUGGGCGUUUCUUGUGUGUUUUAAAUUUGAGAAAAUUGUUAAUUGGUGAUGUGGAUAAGUAGAAA